rnacentral:tRNA from 1 species
GGGGCCAUAGCUCAGCUGGGAGAGCGCAACACUGGCAGUGUUGAUGUCGGCGGUUCGAUCCCGCCUGGCUCCACCA